GACGAACGCUGGCGGCGUGCCUAAUACAUGCAAGUAGAACGCUGAAGGAGGAGCUUGCUCUUCUGGAUGAGUUGCGAACGGGUGAGUAACGCGUAGGUAACCUGCCUGGUAGCGGGGGAUAACUAUUGGAAACGAUAGCUAAUACCGCAUAAGAGUAGAUGUUGCAUGACAUUUACUUAAAAGGUGCAAUUGCAUCACUACCAGAUGGACCUGCGUUGUAUUAGCUAGUUGGUGGGGUAACGGCUUACCAAGGCGACGAUACAUAGCCGACCUGAGAGGGUGAUCGGCCACACUGGGACUGAGACACGGCCCAGACUCCUACGGGAGGCAGCAGUAGGGAGUCUUCGGCAAUGGACGGAAGUCUGACCGAGCAACGCCGCGUGAGUGAAGAAGGGUUUCGGAUCGUAAAGCUCGGUUGUAAGAGAAGAACGAGUGUGAGAGUGGAAAGUUCACACUGUGACGGUAUCUUACCAGAAAGGGACGGCUAACUACGUG
rnacentral:rRNA from 1 species